AGCACAUUGUCUCUUACUUGUA
rnacentral:miRNA from 8 species